CAUUCUAGUACACCCUACUGCUAUUCCAUCGGCGCUGGGCCGGCCUCCACCUUUCUCCGAGACAUGCAGCCGAUUCUCGCUCCUGUUGGAGAGCGCUAUCCCGGCGCACUGCACGGAGCUCGUGAGAAGGAAGGAAGGUGAUAGCAAGAGAAGCUGGCGAGGGUCGCGUUUGUUCCCGGAAAGAAAAGCAACGUCGUAUACAUGCAUUGGUGCUUGCCAUCAAGGCCUACACUCAGUGGAAGCUGCCUGGAGCCGAGCAGAAAACAAGAGCUUGUGGCACUUUUUGCACUGUCGCCACAAAAUGUACGAAGGUUGUAGUGUUAGUUUGGAUGAUGAGCAUGCAGCCGUAGUUUAACGUUCACCAUUAAACACCAUUUACUGUUUUC